CCGGAUGGCGGCGUAGCUCAGCGGUAGAGCAGGGGAAUCAUAAUCCCUUGGUCGGCGGUUCAAAUCCGUCCGCCCGGA
rnacentral:tRNA from 1 species